GUACACUCCUACGGGAGGCAGCAGUGGGGAAUAUUGGACAAUGGGCGCAAGCCUGAUCCAGCCAUGCCGCGUGAGUGAUGAAGGCCCUAGGGUUGUAAAGCUCUUUCACCGGUGAAGAUAAUGACGGUAACCGGAGAAGAAGCCCCGGCUAACUUCGUGCCAGCAGCCGCGGUAAUACGAAGGGGGCUAGCGUUGUUCGGAUUUACUGGGCGUAAAGCGCACGUAGGCGGACUAUUAAGUCAGGGGUGAAAUCCCGGGGCUCAACCCCGGAACUGCCUUUGAUACUGGUAGUCUUGAGUUCGAUAGAGGUGAGUGGAAUUCCGAGUGUAGAGGUGAAAUUCGUAGAUAUUCGGAGGAACACCAGUGGCGAAGGCGGCUCACUGGCUCGAUACUGACGCUGAGGUGCGAAAGCGUGGGGAGCAAACAGGAUUAGAUACCCCGGUAGUCCCAUGA
rnacentral:rRNA from 1 species